rnacentral:rRNA from 1 species
UACAGAGGUGGCAAGCGUUGUUCGGAAUUACUGGGCGUAAAGGGCGCGUAGGCGGUUCGUUAAGUCCUGUGUGAAAUCCCCCGGCUCAACUGGGGAACUGCACAGGAAACUAGCGGGCUUGAGUUCGGGAGAGGGAAGCGGAAUUCUUGGUGUAGCGGUGAAAUGCGUAGAUAUCAAGAGGAACACCUGAGGUGAAGACGGGUUGCUGGGCUGACACUGACGCUGAGGCGCGAAAGCCAGGGGAGCAAACGGG